UACGAAGGGGGCUAGCGUUGCUCGGAAUCACUGGGCGUAAAGCGCACGUAGGCGGCUUGUUAAGUCAGGGGUGAAAUCCUGGAGCUCAACUCCAGAACUGCCUUUGAUACUGGCGAGCUUGAGUCCGGGAGAGGUGAGUGGAACUGCGAGUGUAGAGGUGAAAUGCGCAGAUAUCGGGAAGAACACCCGUGGCGAAGGCGGUUCUCUGGGACGGUACUGACGCUGAGACGCGAAAGCGUGGGGAGCGAACAGG
rnacentral:rRNA from 1 species